rnacentral:rRNA from 1 species
AGUGAACGCUGGCGGCAUGCCUAACACAUGCAAGUCGAACGGCAGCACCGUGAGUGCUUGCUCUCCCGUGUGUCGCGUGGCGGACCGUGCAGGUAUACAUGGGAAUCUACUUUUUCGUGGGUGCUAACACCGGGUAACUUACGCUAAUCCCGCAUACGUCCUACGGGUGAAAGCCGGGGAUCUUUUGACCUUGCGCGAUUGUAUGAGCCGAUGUCGGCUUAGCUAGUUGGGGGGGUAAAGGCGCACCAAGGCGACGAUCGGUAGCUGGUCUGAGCGGAUGAUCAGCCACAUGGGAAGGGAGAAAGGGCCCAGACUCCUAGGGGAGGAAGCGGUGGGGAAUAUUGGAGAAGGGGGGAAAGCCUGAUCCAGCAAGACGGGGGGGGGGAAGAAGGCGUACGGGUGGGAAAGCCCUUUUGUUGGGAGAGAAAAACAGCAGGUUAAUACCCGGCUGUUCUGACGGUACCCGAAGAAUAAGCACCGGCUAACUUCGUG